CAGCAGCAGCACCGGCUCUACGAAAUCCGAAUCGAAUCCUUCUGUUGGCUUUCCCGUGAAUAAUAAUUGUUGGACCCCCUUUGACUCCGAACCUUUUAGCGAACUCAAAGGCACCUUUAUGUGAAAUGAUGGAAUUUUUUAUCAGAUAUAGUCACACCAAGAUCACAUAGGAUCUGACGGGUCAUGAGCGUGAUGGGAACGGGCUUCCCAAAAAGCC
rnacentral:lncRNA from 1 species